rnacentral:rRNA from 1 species
UACGUAGGGGGCGAGCGUUGUCCGGAUUUAUUGGGCGUAAAGAGCUCGUAGGCGGCUCGUCGCGUCAGCCGUGAAAACCCGCAGCUUAACUGCGGGCUUGCGGUUGAUACGGGCGGGCUAGAGUUCGGUAGGGGAGACUGGAAUUCCUGGUGUAGCGGUGAAAUGCGCAGAUAUCAGGAGGAACACCGGUGGCGAAGGCGGGUCUCUGGGCCGAUACCGACGCUGAGGAGCGAAAGCGUGGGGAGCGAACAGG